ACGGUAACAGGUCUUCGGAUGCUGACGAGUGGCGAACGGGUGAGUAAUACAUCGGAACGUGCCCGAUCGUGGGGGAUAACGAAGCGAAAGCUUUGCUAAUACCGCAUACGAUCUACGGAUGAAAGCAGGGGACCGCAAGGCCUUGCGCGAACGGAGCGGCCGAUGGCAGAUUAGGUAGUUGGUGGGAUAAAAGCUUACCAAGCCGACGAUCUGUAGCUGGUCUGAGAGGACGACCAGCCACACUGGGACUGAGACACGGCCCAGACUCCUACGGGAGGCAGCAGUGGGGAAUUUUGGACAAUGGGCGAAAGCCUGAUCCAGCCAUGCCGCGUGCAGGAUGAAGGCCUUCGGGUUGUAAACUGCUUUUGUACGGAACGAAAAGACUCUGGUUAAUACCUGGGGUCCAUGACGGUACCGUAAGAAUAAGCACCGGCUAACUACGUGCCAGCAGCCGCGGUAAUACGUAGGGUGCAAGCGUUAAUCGGAAUUACUGGGCGUAAAGCGUGCGCAGGCGGUUAUAUAAGACAGAUGUGAAAUCCCCGGGCUCAACCUGGGAUCUGCAUUUGUGACUGUAUAGCUAGAGUACGGCAGAGGGGGAUGGAAUUCCGCGUGUAGCAGUGAAAUGCGUAGAUAUGCGGAGGAACACCGAUGGCGAAGGCAAUCCCCUGGGCCUGUACUGACGCUCAUGCAC
rnacentral:rRNA from 1 species